AUUCAAGAAGUCUGCAUGACCAACCAUCAUGAGUGUGGUAGACUAGACAGAUACAAGCUUGAAAUACUUGAAGUAGCUGUUUUCCCUGAGAAACAAUGACAUGGAGGAUAGGAUACCUUGAUUCAGAGCCCUAAGAAGGCUAUAACCAUAUUCUCUGAGGCCCAAAAUAUAAGUAGAAGAUAAAAUUAGACCUCUGGGAUAAAUUGUAGAUGAAGAUCUGAGAUUAACAGAAAGAAGGACUAAAUUAGUUGCCCAGCAAGAAAUGAUAUGUGCUGCUUCUUGUAGACAGCGUCAAGUCAAAGCCAUCAAAUAUCUCAGAAAUGUAGGACUUUGCUUUCAAUGUGCAGAUUCUAAAACUGAAUAAGCAUGGGAAACAGAGCAACUAGAGCUUUAUCCCAUCAAAUCUCUGGGCCCCUUGUUAUUAUCUAGGUGUGCUCGGUUCAUUGUCUCUGUUCAGAAAAGAAUUGAAGAACAGGACACAGAGAUAACAAGAAGAAGUAGGUUUAUUGCAAAGGUGAUAGAGAUACAGAGAAUAGACUUCUAUGAAGAGAAGGGGCCCCAGAAUUGGGAAUCUGAUAGGGAGUUUUGGCCUGUUGCUUUUUAAGAUCUCUGGAAUUUCCUCCUUUCCUUAUCUCCUCCUCUGUCAACUUUCUCCUCACUAUUAUUGAUUGGUGCCCCCUCUAUCCAUGCAUCUGUUUUAGUUUUUCUAUUGGAUUCCCCACUUAGGAGCACGAGUAUGGAAGUGUCUGACUGGGUCCCCCACUUGUGUCUAUGAGCACUCUCGUCAAGCAGAAAGUUGACCUCAUCAGAAGACUCUUUCCAUUAUCCUUUGUUCUGGCUCUGCCUGUAACCACCUCUCUUGCCAUAGUAUCCUGAUUGCUUAAGCCCCUCUACAUCUCCUACACCCUCGGUAGAUUUUAUUUUUUCUUGACUGGAAUUUUCCUUGGUGAUUAAUUAUAAAGGGAAAUAGAAGUACUUAUUUAUUGAUGGAUAAUCAACCUUGCAUAAGGUCUCUGACAAUGAACAGCUAUAGGCCACUGGCUCAAACUGAUAUUCCUGUUUCAUGUCUUGGGGUCAGUGCUCUGUAUAGAGUGCAAUCUAUUUUCAGGAAAAUUCAUGUUAUAAUUGUUUUUGA
rnacentral:lncRNA from 1 species